UUUGGAACUCCUUCGGGAGCGGAAUUUUUAGUUUAGUGGCGGACGGGUGAGUAACGCGUGAGCAAUCUGCCUUUAAGAGGGGGAUAACAGUCGGAAACGGCUGCUAAUACCGCAUAAAGCAUCAAAUUCGCAUGUUUUUGAUGCCAAAGGAGCAAUCCGCUUUUAGAUGAGCUCGCGUCUGAUUAGCUGGUUGGCGGGGUAACGGCCCACCAAGGCGACGAUCAGUAGCCGGACUGAGAGGUUGAACGGCCACAUUGGGACUGAGACACGGCCCAGACUCCUACGGGAGGCAGCAGUGGGGAAUAUUGCGCAAUGGGGGAAACCCUGACGCAGCAACGCCGCGUGAUUGAAGAAGGCCUUCGGGUUGUAAAGAUCUUUAAUCAGGGACGAAACAAAUGACGGUACCUGAAGAAUAAGCUCCGGCUAACUACGUGCCAGCAGCCGCGGUAAUACGUAGGGAGCAAGCGUUAUCCGGAUUUACUGGGUGUAAAGGGCGCGCAGGCGGGCCGGCAAGUUGGAAGUGAAAUCUAUGGGCUUAACCCAUAAACUGCUUUCAAAACUGCUGGUCU
rnacentral:rRNA from 1 species